CGCCUGGCGACGGUGACAGCACGGAGCGGGAGGGGCGCCGGCCGCUCCUGGAGGGACCCAGCCAGUCAGGGUGCGCGGCGCGGGGCGCGUGGACGCAUUGGAGCAUUCGCGCGAGCCCGGAGCAGCAGCGGGAGGAGGCGCCCACCUGCACCUGCCUGCAUCUCCCAACUCCUCCGCCCGUGCAACUGCCGGCAGCCAAGUGCCAUUAAAGCUGGUGGCCAGGAGGAUGCCUCACCUGGGUUCCCUCUGCUGGGAGAGGCAGGGCAAGCCUGAAGAGAAUUCCCAGUGAAGGAUUCAGAACUCUGCGAUUUCUCUUCUGCCACAGGCUGAGAAGCACUCAAGGAACUGCUCCAUCUGAGCUGCGCCCAAGGCAGGAGGAUGGGAGAGCGGGAUUGAGAGUCCCUGAAAUGGACAGAGGCAGCUGGAAUCUCAUUGAUGGAGAGGGCUGCAGAUGUGCUGUGUGAGGGAAACGAGACAAGCGGCUGGUGAAACAGAAGCUUCUCCCUGCCUCCCUGGUCCCUGGCAGAACCCCCGGAACGGAAGCUCAGGUAUUUUUAGAAGAUUGCUAUUUAAUGCAUUUCAAGUCCUGUCAAGCAUCAUGUCUGUAUGACUACCACAAAAGGAUUACCUUAGAGAAACCGCUGCCUUUUGGAGAGUGUGAUUUGGACCCUGAUUCAGAAAACAGGGUCUUCAAUGAGCAAGCAUCAGUGCUGAUUACCAGCCUGUGAUUCAGAAGAGUCCAGUGACCAAGCAUGGCUUUGUCUUGGAGACUAAUCCUGUUUCUGUCUGUCACCAGGUAUC